UAUCCAAUGGUUGAUAACUAACCACAUGACUUGGAUCUGACACAUAUUGUCGAAGCAUUGACACGUGGAACACAUCAUGAACCGCUGACAAUUCUGGUGGUAGAGCGAUUCGAUAAGCUGCAUUUCCAACUUUCUGCAAAAUUUCAAAAGGACCUAUGAAUCUUGGUCGAAGUUUUCCUUUCUUCCCAAAACGCAGAACUCCCUUCAUCGGCGCCACUUUUAUGAAAACUUUGUC
rnacentral:lncRNA from 1 species